AUUGAACGCUGGCGGCAGGCCUAACACAUGCAAGUCGAGCGGAUGACGGGAGCUUGCUCCUUGAUUCAGCGGCGGACGGGUGAGUAAUGCCUAGGAAUCUGCCUGGUAGUGGGGGAUAACGUUUCGAAAGGAACGCUAAUACCGCAUACGUCCUACGGGAGAAAGCAGGGGACCUUCGGGCCUUGCGCUAUCAGAUGAGCCUAGGUCGGAUUAGCUAGUUGGUGGGGUAAUGGCUCACCAAGGCGACGAUCCGUAACUGGGCUGAGAGGAUGAUCAGUCCCACUGAAACUGAGACACGGUCCAGAGUCCUACGGGAGGCAGCAGUGGGGAAUAUUGGACAAUGGGCGAAAGCCUGAUCCAGCCAUGCCGCGUGUGUGAAGGAGGUCUUCGGAUUGUAAAGCACUUUAAGUUGGGAGGAAGGGCAGUAAGUUAAUACCUUGCUGUUUUGACGUUACCGACAGAAUAAGCACCGGCUAACUCUGUGCCAGCCGCCGCGGUAACAC
rnacentral:rRNA from 1 species